CCUCCGUCACAGAGCCCAAGUCAGUGUCCACGUUGCAAGCACCCAAGUCACUCACGUCACUUGUCUUACCAGGUGGCUAUUUUAUCCUCUCACAGCAUCAUAGCAAGAAAGGGAUCUAACUAAUGCAAAACACAUAAGAAAUAAGAGGAAUGAAUAUUCAAAAAGAAGAGGCAGGACUCUCACCAUUUGCUGACAAGGAUGUAUUAGAGAAGAAUCACUCCCCACCUCCAAGAAAAAGAUUAGAAAAGAGUUGACAAAAGAGGGGACCGCCAAGAAGGGCCCACAACUCCACUGCAGGGAACCUCGUGCCACAGAGUAUGAAGAGAAAAGACAUUAGAUAAAGUUGUGAUGCUUGGCUGUGGAUUUCCCCGUGUUCAUUUUUAAGAUGCCUGCUGGCUGAGUCAGAGCGCAGAGUGACAGCUGGCAACUUGAUGGAGUAGGGGGCAGCAGCGCAAGCGGGGACAAAGACGAUGCAGGAACAGACUCUGGAACAGAUCCACACCCUGAAGCCAGCACAGUGAGGAGACUGAGUCACAGAGGAGGUCAGUGACUUAUAGGUGCCCAACGAGACCCACAGCUGGAGAAUACAGGAUUAUAGGAAUGCCUA